rnacentral:rRNA from 1 species
AUACAGAGGGUGCAAGCGUUAAUCGGAAUUACUGGGCGUAAAGCGCGCGUAGGCGGCUUGGUCAGUCGGAUGUGAAAGCCCUGGGCUUAACCUGGGAAUGGCAUUCGAUACUGCAGAGCUAGAGUAUGGUAGAGGGAAGUGGAAUUUCCGGUGUAGCGGUGAAAUGCGUAGAUAUCGGAAGGAACACCAGUGGCGAAGGCGACUUCCUGGGCCAAUACUGACGCUGAGGUGCGAAAGCGUGGGGAGCAAACAGGAUUAGAAACCCCAGUAGUCC